rnacentral:rRNA from 1 species
GAUGAACGCUAGCGGGAGGCUUAACACAUGCAAGUCGAGGGGCAGCACGAGGUAGCAAUACUUUGGUGGCGACCGGCGCACGGGUGAGUAACGCGUAUGCAACCUACCCUGUACAGGGGGAUAACCCGGAGAAAUUCGGACUAAUACCCCAUAAAGAUAAUUAGAGGCAUCUUUGAAUAUUUAAAGUUCCGGCGGUACGGGAUGGGCAUGCGUAACAUUAGCUAGUUGGUAAGGUAACGGCUUACCAAGGCAACGAUGUUUAGGGGUCCUGAGAGGGUGAUCCCCCACACUGGUACUGAGACACGGACCAGACUCCUACGGGAGGCAGCAGUGAGGAAUAUUGGUCAAUGGGCGCAAGCCUGAACCAGCCAUCCCGCGUGAAGGAAGAAUGCGCUAUGCGUUGUAAACUUCUUUUCCAGGGGAAUAAAAUUUUGUACGUGUACGGAAUUGAAGGUACCCUGGGGAUAAGCAUCGGCUAACUCCGUGCCAGCCGCCGCAGUAACAC